rnacentral:misc_RNA from 1 species
UCCAUGUUUUGCUCCCUUUCAAUUAUGUUUCAGAGGAUGUACUCUGCCUUUUCAACUAGCUUCGAAUUUGUACAAUAAUACAAAUUGCAAAUCUUGAACUAUCUCCUAUAAGUCACAGGUCUUUACAAUGCAAAAGCUGCAGUUUCCAUUCCUUCGCAAUUCCUCACUUUUUGGCAUCUCAGCAUUAUGACAAACAAGCUUCAAGCUUAGGAAGGAGACUUCGCCAUGCAUCUGCGAUGUUAUUUGCCAAACGAGAC